rnacentral:rRNA from 1 species
GUGCCAGCAGCCGCGGUAAUACGUAGGUGGCGAGCGUUGUCCGGAAUUACUGGGUGUAAAGGGCGUGUAGGCGGGAUUGCAAGUCAGAUGUGAAAUUCUUGAGCUUAACUCAAGAGCUGCAUCUGAAACUGUGAUUCUUGAGUACUGGAGAGGAUAGUGGAAUUCCUAGUGUAGCGGUGAAAUGCGUAGAUAUUAGGAGGAACACCAGUGGCGAAGGCGGCUAUCUGGACAGUAACUGACGCUGAGGCGCGAAAGCGUGGGGAGCAAACAGGAUUAGAAACCCUCGUAGUCC